rnacentral:rRNA from 1 species
AUUGAACGGGGGAGGGAGGGAGAACACAGGCAAGUCGAGCGGAUGAAGGGAGCUUGCUCCUGGAUUCAGCGGCGGACGGGUGAGUAAUGCCUAGGAAUCUGCCUGGUAGUGGGGGAUAACGUCCGGAAACGGGCGCUAAUACCGCAUACGUCCUGAGGGAGAAAGUGGGGGAUCUUCGGACCUCACGCUAUCAGAUGCGCCUAGGUCGGAUUAGCUAGUUGGUGGGGUAAAGGCCUACCAAGGCGACGAUCCGUAACUGGUCUGAGAGGAUGAUCAGUCACACUGGAACUGAGACACGGUCCCGACUCCUACGGGAGGCAGCAGUGGGGAAUAUUGGACAAUGGGCGAAAGCCUGAUCCAGCCAUGCCGCGUGUGUGAAGAAGGUCUUCGGAUUGUAAAGCACUUUCAGUUGGGAGGAAGGGCAGUAAGUUAAUACCUUGCUGUUUUGACGUUACCAACAGAAUAAGCACCGGCUAACUUCGUG